CAGAUGUGAAAGACCCGGGGCGUCAACCCCGGAACUAGCAUUUGAAACUAGGCAGACUAGAGUACUGUAGAGGGGGGUAGGAAGUUUCAGGUGUAGCGGUGAAAUAGCGUAGAGAUCUGAAGGAAUACCGGUGGCGAAGGCGGCCCCCUCGGACAGAUACUGACACUCAGAUGCGAAAGCGUGGGGAGCAAACAGGAUUAGAUACCCUGGUAG
rnacentral:rRNA from 1 species